GCAGUCGUGGCCGAGUGGUUAAGGCUAUGGACUAUAGAAAUCCAUUGCGGUCUCCCCGCACAGGUUCGAAUCCUGUCGACUGCG
rnacentral:tRNA from 1 species